UUUUGUGAUAGCACAAUAUAAUCAUAUUUACUCCAUUUAAAUGAGCAGGAAACAUAUAUAAUAGACAUUUGGAAAGUACCCCAUAUAAAAAAGUAUUAACUGUUAAUUAAGGUUGCAUCCAAAACAUAAUAUUAAAAAUGAUUAACAUGCAAGAUAUAUUGCAUACUUGGAAUCUACAUAUUUUCUGUGGCAUUUUCAUAUAUAAUAAAUUAUAUUUGAAAUUAGGGUUUAAAAGAUAUGAAUGUUUCAAAAAGCAUUUUGAAUCUGCCUGAAAAAACAAAAAUAAAACAUUAAAACGGAGUAGCGCUGGGCCUAAAAAGGAAGCCUAGCGUCGGAGUUAUAUCCUACACCCAUAAAAAAUCGGAAUUACGGUUUAAAGGAUACAGAUAAUUUAGAAAAUCAUUUGUCUGACUUAAUAUCUUCCAAAAUAAUAUUUAAAAAUACUUAACAGGUAAAAAAUAAUCUCAUAUUCAUAUUCUACAUAUUUUUCUAAUCAAAUUUCAUAUAUAACAAAUAGAGGAACUUUUCUGAAAAAUGACAUGACGGACGACCAGAAGCACUAUUUGGUUUAUUAUUAGGGGAAGAUAUCUAUUCAAACAUGUCCGUGAAUUGCAACGGGAGAAAAAAAAAUCACCCCUCAAACACACUCGACGACAUCUGACGGGAAUCAACAUCUCAUAUAGUGCCAAUAAUAACUUUUGUGAUAGCACAAUAUAAUCAUAUUUACUCCAUUUAAAUGAGCAGGAAACAUAUAUAAUAAACAUUUGGAAAGUACCCCAUAUAAAAAAGUAUUAACUGUUAAUUAAGGUUGCAUCCAAAAUAUAAUAUUAAAAAUGAUUAACAUGGAAGAUAUAUUGCAUACUUGGAAUCUACAUAUUUUCUGUGGCAUUUUCAUAUAUAAUAAAUUAUAUUUGAAAUUAGGGUUUAAAAGAUAUGAAUGUUUCAAAAAGCAUUUUGAAUCUGCCUGAAAAACAAAAAUAAAACAUUAAAACGGAGUAGCGCUGGGCCUAAAAAGGAAGCCCAGGGGCGGAGUUAUAUCCUACACCCAUAAAAAUCGGAAUUACGGUUUAAAAGAUACAGAUAAUUUAGAAAAUCAUUUGUCUGACUUAAUAUCUUCCAAAAUAAUAUUUAAAAAUACUUAAUAGGUAAAAAAUAAUCUCAUAUUCAUAUUCUACAUAUUUUUGUAAUCAAAUUUCAUAUAUAACAAAUAGAGGAACUUUUCUGAAAAAUGCCAUGACGGACGACCAGAAGCACUAUUUGGUUUAUUAUUAGGGGAAGAUAUCUAUGCAAACAUGUCCGUGCGUUGCAACGGGAGAAAAAAAAUCACCCCUCAAACACACUCGACGACAUCUGACGGGAAUCAACAUCUCAUAUAGUGCCAAUAAUAACUUUGGUGAUAGCACAAUAUAAUCAUAUUAUUCCAUUUAAAUGAGCAGGAAACAUAUAUAAUAGACAUUUGGAAAGUACCCCAUAUAAAAAAGUAUUAACUGUUAAUUAAGGUUGCAUCCAAAACAUAAUAUUAAAAAUGAUUAACAUGCAAGAUAUAUUGCAUACUUGGAAUCUACAUAUUUUCUGUGGCAUUUUCAUAUAUAAUAAAUUAUAUUUGAAAUUAGGGUUUAAAAGAUAUGAAUGUUUCAAAAAGCAUUUUGAAUCUGCCUGAAAAAUAAAUAAAUAAAACAUUAAAACGGAGUAGCGCUGGGCCUAAAAAGGAAGCCCAGGGUCGGAGUUAUAUCCUACACCCAUAAAAAAUCGGAAUUACGGUUUAAGAGAUACAGAUAAUUUAGAAAAUCAUUUGUCUGACUUAAUAUCUUCCAAAAUAAUAUUUAAAAAUACUUAACAGGUAAAAAAUAAUCUCAUAUUCAUAUUCUACAUAUUUUUCUAAUCAAAUUUCAUAUAUAACAAAUAGAGGAACUUUUCUGAAAAAUUCCAUGACGGACGACCAGAAGCACUAUUUGGUUUAUUAUUAGGGGAAGAUAUCUAUGCAAACAUGUCCGUGCGUUGCAACGGGAGAAAAAAAAUCACCCCUCAAACACACUCGACGACAUCUGACGGGAAUCAACAUCUCAUAUAGUGCCAAUAAUAACUUUUGUGAUAGCACAAUAUAAUCAUAUUUACUCCAUUUAAAUGAGCAGGAAACAUAUAUAAUAGACAUUUGGAAAGUAGCCCAUAUAAAAAAGUAUUAACUGUUAAUUAAGGUUGCAUCCAAAACAUAAUAUUAAAAAUGAUUAACAUGCAAGAUAUAUUGCAUACAUGGAAUCUACAUAUUUUCUGUGGCAUUUUCAUAUAUAAUAAAUUAUAUUUGAAAUUAGGGUUUAAAAGAUAUGAAUGUUUCAAAAAGCAUUUUGAAUCUGCCUGAAAAAACAAAAAUAAAACAUUAAAACGGAGUAGCGCUGGGCCUAAAAGGGAAGCCCAGGGGCGGAGUUAUAUCCUACACCCAUAAAAAAUCGGAAUUACGGUUUAAAAGAUACAGAUAAUUUAGAAAAUCAUUUGUCUGACUUAAUAUCUUCCAAAAUAAUAUUUAAAAAUACUUAACAGGUAAAAAAUAAUCUCAUAUUCAUAUUGUACAUAUUUUUCUAAUUAAAUUUCAUAUAUAACAAAUAGAGGAACUUUUCUGAAAAAUGCCAUGACGGACGACCAGAAGCACUAUUUGGUUUAUUAUUAGGGGAAGAUAUCUAUGCAAACAUGUCCGUUCGUUGCAACGGGAGAAAAAAAAAAUCACCCCUCAAACACACUCGACGACAUCUGACGGGAAUCAACAUCUCAUAUAGUGCCAAUAAUAACUUUUGUGAUAGCACAAUAUAAUCAUAUUUACUCCAUUUAAAUGAGCAGGAAACAUAUAUAAUAGACAUUUGGAAAGUACCCCAUAUAAAAAAGUAUUAACUGUUAAUUAAGGUUGCAUCCAAAACAUAAUAUUAAAAAUGAUUAACAUGCAAGAUAUAUUGCAUACUUGGAAUCUACAUAUUUUCUGUGGCAUUUUCAUAUAUAAUAAAUUAUAUUUGAAAUUAGGGUUUAAAAGAUAUGAAUGUUUCAAAAAGCAUUUUGAAUCUGCCUGAAAAAACAAAAAUAAAACAUUAAAACGGAGUAGCGCUGGGCCUAAAAAGGAAGCCCAGGGGCGGAGUUAUAUCCUACACCCAUAAAAAAUCGGAAUUACGGUUUAAAAGAUACAGAUAAUUUAGAAAAUCAUUUGUCUGACUUAAUAUCUUCCAAAA